rnacentral:rRNA from 1 species
UACGGAGGGUGCAAGCGUUAUCCGGAUUCACUGGGUUUAAAGGGUGCGUAGGUGGAGUGGUAAGUCAGUGGUGAAAUCUCCAAGCUUAACUUGGAACUGCCGUUGAUACUAUCAUUCUUGAAUAUCGUGGAGGUAAGCGGAAUAUGUCAUGUAGCGGUGAAAUGCUUAGAUAUGACAUAGAACACCGAUUGCGAAGGCAGCUUGCUACACGAUCAUUGACACUGAGGCACGAAAGCGUGGGGGAUCAAACAGG